rnacentral:tRNA from 1 species
GGGGGCGUAGCUCAGUGGUUAGAGCAGCCGGCUCAUAACCAGUUGGUCGUUGGUUCAAGUCCAACCGCCCCCACCA